rnacentral:rRNA from 1 species
CUAUAAAGUGAGUGGCGAACGGGUGAGUAACACGUGGGUAACCUGCCCAGAAGUGGGGGAUAACACCUGGAAACAGAUGCUAAUACCGCAUAACAAAAUUAACCGCAUGGUUGAUUUUUAAAAGAUGGCUUCGGCUAUCACUUCUGGAUGGACCCGCGGCGUAUUAGCUAGUUGGUGAGAUAAAGGCUCACCAAGGCAGUGAUACGUAGCCGACCUGAGAGGGUAAUCGGCCACAUUGGGACUGAGACACGGCCCAGACUCCUACGGGAGGCAGCAGUAGGGAAUCUUCCACAAUGGACGCAAGUCUGAUGGAGCAACGCCGCGUGAGUGAUGAAGGCUUUCGGGUCGUAAAACUCUGUUGUUGGAGAAGAACGUGUGUGAGAGUAACUGCUCAUGCAGUGACGGUAUCCAACCAGAAAGCCACGGCUAACUACGUGCCAGCAGCCGCGGUAAUACGUAGGUGGCAAGCGUUAUCCGGAUUUAUUGGGCGUAAAGCGAGCGCAGGCGGUCUUUUAAGUCUAAUGUGAAAGCCUUCGGCUUAACCCGAAGAAGUGCAUUGGAAACUGGGAGACUUGAGUGCAGAAGAGGAGAGUGGAACUCCAUGUGUAGCGGUGAAAUGCGUAGAUAUAUGGAA